UACGUAGGGGGCGAGCGUUGUCCGGAAUCAUUGGGCGUAAAGCGCACGUAGGCGGCCCUGUAAGUCGGAUGUGAAAGGCCACGGCUCAACCGUGGAACGGCAUCCGAUACUGCAGGGCUUGAGGUAGGUAGAGGAGAGUGGAAUUCCCGGUGUAGCGGUGGAAUGCGCAGAUAUCGGGAGGAACACCGAUGGCGAAGGCAGCUCUCUGGGCCUUACCUGACGCUGAGGUGCGAAAGCGUGGGGAGCGAACAGG
rnacentral:misc_RNA from 1 species